UACCUGUAAUGUCACUACUGCUAAGAUAAUUUGCAUUUUGAAAAAAAUUCUUAGUUUCUCAAAUGAAAAAGUAGAAGCCGAAAGCCACUACUAUCCAAGAACUCAGAACUGUCAGCAUCUGCCUGCCAAUGCCUCACAGGAACUGAAACAAGAUGACAUUUGUAAGUAUUAUCAUUAGGAUAUACCUGAAGGCGCAUUGGACUUGAAUGAGGAAGACCUUGAACUAGCUGUGAACGCCCGG
rnacentral:lncRNA from 1 species